UACGUAGGGUGCGAGCGUUAAUCGGAAUUACUGGGCGUAAAGCGUGCGCAGGCGGUUUUGUAAGCCCGAUGUGAAAGCCCCGGGCUUAACCUGGGAAUGGCAUUUGGGACUGCAAGGCUUGAGUGCGGCAGAGGAGACUGGAAUUCCCGGUGUAGCAGUGAAAUGCGUAGAUAUCGGGAGGAACACCGGUGGCGAAGGCGGCAUCCUGGACCAACACUGACGCUGAGGAGCGAAAGCCAGGGGAGCAAACGGG
rnacentral:rRNA from 1 species